UACGAAGGGGGCUAGCGUUGCUCGGAAUCACUGGGCGUAAAGCGCACGUAGGCGGAUUGCUGAGUCAGGGGUGAAAUCCUGGAGCUCAACUCCAGAACUGCCCUUGAUACUGGCGGUCUCGAGUCCGGGAGAGGUGAGUGGAACGGCGAGUGUAGAGGUGAAAUUCGUAGAUAUUCGCAAGAACACCAGUGGCGAAGGCGGCUCACUGGCCCGGUACUGACGCUGAGGUGCGAAAGCGUGGGGAGCAAACAGG
rnacentral:rRNA from 1 species